rnacentral:sRNA from 1 species
GCUGGAUGCAGCGGUGUGUAUCUGUAAUCACAGAUGCUUGGGAGGCUGAGGUGGGAGGAUCACUUGAGUCCAGGAGUUGGAGUUCAGCCUGGGCAACAUAGUGAGACCUUGUCUCAA